CCUACGGGUGGCAGCAGUAGGGAAUCUUCCACAAUGGGCGAAAGCCUGAUGGAGCAACGCCGCGUGGGUGAAGAAGGUCUUCGGAUCGUAAAACCCUGUUGUUAGAGAAGAAAGUGCGUGAGAGUAACUGUUCACGUUUCGACGGUAUCUAACCAGAAAGCCACGGCUAACUACGUGCCAGCAGCCGCGGUAAUACGUAGGUGGCAAGCGUUAUCCGGAUUUAUUGGGCGUAAAGGGAACGCAGGCGGUCUUUUCAGUCUGAUGUGAAAGCCUUCGGCUUAACCGGCGUAGUGCAUUGGAAACUGGGAGACGUGAGUGCAGAAGAGGAGAGUGGAACUCCAUGUGUAGCGGUGAAAUGCGUAGAUAUAUGGAAGAACACCAGUGGCGAGAGCGGCUCUCUGGUCUGGAACUGACGCUGAGGUUCGAAAGCGUGGGUAGCAAACAGGAUUAGAUACCCGUGUAGUC
rnacentral:rRNA from 1 species